rnacentral:rRNA from 1 species
CACAAGCGGUGGAGUAUGUGGUUUAAUUCGAUGCAACGCGAAAACCUUACCUGCCCUUGACAUCCUCGGAACUUGUCAGAGAUGACUUGGUGCCUUCGGGAACCGAGAGACAGGUGCUGCAUGGCUGUCGUCAGCUCGUGUCGUGAGAUGUUGGGUUAAGUCCCGCAACGAGCGCAACCCUUGUCAUUAGUUGCUACAUUCAGUUGGGCACUCUAAUGAGACUGCCGGUGACAAACCGGAGGAAGGUGGGGAUGACGUCAAGUCCUCAUGGCCCUUAUAGGUGGGGCUACACACGUCAUACAAUGGAUGGUACAAAGGGUCGCCAACCCGCGAGGGGGAGCCAAUCCCAUAAAGCCAUUCGUAGUCCGGAUCGCAGUCUGCAACUCGACUGCGUGAAGUCGGAAUCGCUAGUAAUCGUGGAUCAGAAUGUCACGGUGAAUACGUUCCCGGGUCUU